UGUUAGACAUUUAUUUCACUUCCUCCCGUCGUCAGAUGUUUAGGUGUUCGCUCUUGUUGUGCACAAAGCUUGCACUGGACCAUGUCCGGUGUUGGCGAGCUUCUGAGCAAAGCAAGUGAGAGAGAGGAGAGGUUGAGAAAGACGGAGGAGUUUCUAGCCAAGCAUCUCCACGAUCGCUUGUUUGUGGACUACUUCAAUGUUUUUCUCAACUUGCCGGUGUUUGGUCAAAGAAUGCUGCUCAAGCUGCACGAUGGACACUUUAUAUUUGACCCUCCAGUUUUCACAGAAGUGAAUCAUGACAGGAUAGUAGCAUGGAUAGCUGCGCGCAGGUUUCACCUGUUUACAAAGACACACCUCUUUCUGGAAUAUCAGCUGUGCCAUAAACUGCAAAACCUCGACUUUGAGCUGCGGUUCUAUGAUUCUGCUCGCAGUAGGCGGACCCAUCAUGUACUGCAGGUGUUUGCAAACAACCUGCUGGGUAGCGUGGCUGGCAUGUACCUGUUCCGUGAGCACCUCCGGAACUCCUCCGGCUCGAAAGUUUUUGGGUGCUGGCUACAUGUGCAACGAUUCCGACAGACGCGCAACUUGACGAAACGACGCGAGAUAUUCCACGAGAUCCAGCAGUGCUAUCUCCAUGCUACGGCGUUUCACAAGCUGUCCAACAGGCUGUGCAAAGUAGUGGCCGUGGAGCUCCUGUCUUUUCCUGUGGUGCCACAUUCUGAAACGGAGUUGUCAGCGCGACUUACGACUGAUCACUAUGUGCCCUCAUGCGAAGUCGACCUCUCGUCACCUAAGGCCUUGGGACUGGUGCAUCGAGUGCUUCUGGAAGCCUUGCGCGCUUACUGGGCUCCUUGUUACGUCAUGCACGUGCUCUCCACCCAGCCCUUUACGAUACUAAAGGAACUGUUCAGGGUUCCAGGAGGAGACAUCAUUCUGUCCUCGAGUGAACUGAAAAUUCUUAUCGGAAGGUGCGCACUGUUUAGCAUCCAAGACGGUCAAGAUUUAAUACCGAAACAUGGUGGUGCCCAGUUUGAGAGUGAUGAGUGGAUCUUUUCCUUAAUCUCAUCUUCUUCAUCGACAUUGUCGUCAGCGUCUUCAUCUUUAACGCGUGGUAAGACCGGGGGAAGCUCCUUCGAUAGCGUUCACUGCGUGGAAUCAAGUGACCAGAAGCUCUUGUCACGACUGUGCUCCUCAUUCUUGUCAUCAGAGCGACAGACGACCUUAACCCCUGUGGAGGAGUGUGGGCAACCUAAGUCUGCAGAUCUUUUGAAUUUACCCUCAGAUAAAGGAGAAACUUCGUCUGCAGUCUCUUUGCUUAGAGACGAUAAAGUACAAGUAGAAGUCUCUCGGCAUCACGAUGACACCAGCGACGAGGAGCUGGCAGAGGUGUGUGCUAUCGGAGAAUUACUGGACACUGGAGACGACUCCAACCAGCCGGUAUAUGAUGAUGAGGAUGAUGACAAGAGCAAGGACUCCAAACCAGUCCCCUUGCCCAGCGCUGCCCGCCGUUUGGAACCGGCUUCCUCAAGCUUGCCAAGAGAAAGUUUGGAGGGUACAACAGCUACCAGAGAGGACACCCGUGGCACAAGCGGCAAGUCCAAGGUGUCAGACGAGCUGGAAGACGACGACAGAAGGUUGAGGUUGAACCUGACGAUUCUGGCGCUGAAGGAGAUGAGCUUCAAGCCCGAACCCAUGCUUUACCUCAACCAGCUGCUGCGGCAUUACCUCUUCGGCUAUCGACACCUGGACCAAGAGAAGCCAGUGACUGACAGACGAACCCUGUGCCUGCUGGCUUGCGACGACUUGGCCGGCAGUCCGUUCCGUUCUUACCUGCGUGGUCAGGACCCGCGGCUGCAUCUCAGCUACUUUGACUUCUGGUCAGCUAUGCGCCGAUAUCAGCAGCUCCACGACCUGUAUCGAAUGGGAAACACCAUGAAUACUAAGUAUGGUCCUCCCAUCGCUAGCUUGCGAACACAGCACAUUCUUUAUAUGGUCAACAGAUUUUUUAUGGGCAGUGGUCUUGACGCUAAGAUCUUACAAUAUAGAAUUCGAAUUAAUAUUCUGGAGGACAUGAAGGCAGCCAGAUGGUCACCCCUCAUCAACUCAACUUUGGAUGUCGUGUCCAAUGUUCUCGGUAUCCCCAUGAUGCAGUUCAUCCUCAACGACAGACAAGAUUUUCGAAAGCACGCGAUCGAUUCCGGAACCUUCGAGGUCAAGCCAAAGCAGGGUCCAAAAGACAAAGUUGUAAUAGAAUCGGGUCUUCCGAAAGUCUUUAAUUCUUUGCUGAAGCGGGGAACCGAGGCGGCUUCGCAAGGAGCGUUUGCUAAUCGCCGCUGUCUCUCAGAUCCCUGGAGAGAGGAUCCCAAACACGAUCCAGAUGGAGACAUGGAAUGUCUGCGACCCACGGAUUCUCGUGGCACCAAGUAUAACGGCGUUGUGGGUGUCCUGGGCGAACAGCAUCGCUUGCUGGCCUUUCAGUUUCUUAUCGUCCUGCGAGAAGACCUACCAGACGCACAGGUCUGUGAUGUGGCUUCUUUGGCAAGAAUUGUGCGGUCUGACUAUGGUAGCUUGCACAUUCAUUGCCCUUCUCCUGUCAAAACCAAUUAUCUAACCAUCCUUCGACCCGAAAGGCGGACUUUUAGCACGACGUGGCUAAAACAAUCCUCUUUGCCCCAAAAUGUUCCUCUUCGGACCACUUUCAGCAGGCUUAGUACAACUGUAAAUGUGCGCCAGCUUCUACAGAUAAGACAAAAUAGAGAAAGCUCAUCGUUUGUAUUACCCCCAAAGCCAAGACAUUCUGGCGGACGAGACGCAGUUCCAAGCCUUCAAGAAGUAUUUACGAGGUAAAGACCAGGCACAAAUCCUCUCAUUCUGCGAAGAUGUACAAGACGCUCGGAGAGUUGAAAAUUCCAGUGACCGGGACAUGAUUGUACAGAAAAUUGUAGAGUACCACUUCAAAGCCGGUGGUGAGGUUGCAAACUUAAUCAAACAGAUGGGCUUAAGCGUGUCGGGCAUUAAAAAAGGAGACCUCCCAGCUUUGAUUAAAGCUCAGUUAGCUUUGGAGAAGCAGAUACAAGAUAAAUG
rnacentral:misc_RNA from 1 species